rnacentral:rRNA from 1 species
CGGGAAGAGGGGAAAAGGGCUUAGUGGCGGACGGGUGAGUAACGCGUGGGUAACCUGGCCCAUACAGGGGGAUAACACUUAGAAAUAGGUGCUAAUACCGCAUAACAACAGAAAGCGCAUGCUUUUUGUUUGAAAACCAAGGUGGUAUGGGAUGGACCCGCGUCUGAUUAGCUGGUUGGCGGGGUAAAGGCCCACCAAGGCGACGAUCAGUAGCCGGCCUGAGAGGGUGGACGGCCACAUUGGGACUGAGACACGGCCCAAACUCCUACGGGAGGCAGCAG